UUGGCAUUUAAAUGAAAAUCUUAACCAAAAGGCAAGGUUAAGUUUGAACAGAUGUUAAAUCCCCUUGGCUAUCAAAAAAAUCCAAAACAAAGACUACAAAAUAAAAGCAUCAAAUCUCAAUAUACAAUAUCAAUUAAGGGAAAUUUUCAUCCACAACCGAGAUCAGAAAUUCUUAUAUAAUCACUUUGAAGCUGGCCAAAAACAAAAUCAAUUAUACAUACAAGUACAUAUAAUAAACGGGCAGAUUAUAUAUAUCACCAAAAAUAUUAAAGUUAAAUAAAAAAACUUACUUGGAUAAGAUUUUGCAACUCGGCGGGGUUCUGAUAAGUAGAAUUCAUUGUUUUGCGUCUUGAUUUCACACUCCAGAUAGAUAUUUUUUAGUUUCUAAUUUUGAAGGUAUGAUUACAGAUUCAGGGGAAAUUAGGGGAUUAUAUUUAGGGUUUUUACGAUGUCAGUUGUUUUUU
rnacentral:lncRNA from 1 species